rnacentral:rRNA from 1 species
AUGAGCUACCUAAGCUGGAACUGUCAGGGGCUUGGGAACCCCGCGGCAGUUCGUGAGCUUCGCAAUAUCGUGAAGCAAGAAGGGCCCAAUCUCCUGUUUGUUAUGGAGACGAAGAUUUCGGCAAAUAGAGUGGAAAGUUUGAAACUCCAGCUUGGAUUCGCGGGCUGUUUUGUAGUCAGCAGUGUCGGUCUUAGCGGGGGAAUUGGCAUGUUCUGGUCCGGAGAACUG